rnacentral:rRNA from 1 species
AAGUAUAAAUUUAUUAAUUUUUUAUUAAUUAAAAAUUUAAUAAAAAUAAUUUUAUUUUUUUUUUUGUAUUUUUUAUAGAUUUAAUAAUUUUAUAAUAGUUUAAUUGUAUUGAAAAAGAAUAUUGAAAUAUUUUGAAAAUUUAUUUAAUUUAAAGUAAAAUUUAUUUUUUGUACCUUUUGUAUCAGGGAAUAUUAAAUAUUUUUUAUUAAUAUAUAAAUUUCUCGAAUUUAAAAGAUCUAAUAUUUUAAUAAAUUUAUUGUAAUAUAAAUAUUUUAAAUAAAAUAUUAGUAAUGAAACGUUUUUCGUUUUUAAAUAUAUCUAGUUAUUUAAGAAAUAAAUUUAAUUUAUAUAUUAUUUUUAUAUUAUUUUAAUUUUUUAAUUUAGUAUAAUUUAAUAUAAAUAAUAUAAGGGAUAAGCUUUAUAUUAAUUUUUAUAAUAUUUUUAUAUUAAUAUAAUUUAUAAGCUUAGAAAUAGUUAUUAUUAAAAAUUUUGUUUUAAUUUAUUAUUUUUUUUAAAAAAUUAUUUUUUAUAAUUAAUUUAAAUUUUUUAUUAAAUUAUUUAUUUUAAUAUUUAAAAUAAAGGAAUAAUGAUAUAAUUAGUAAUUUAUAUUGUAAAUUUAAUUUAAUUAAUAAAGAUUAAUUAAAGGAAUUCGGCAAUAAUAUAAUACUCGCCUGUUUAACAAAAACAUGUCUUUUUGAAUAUAAUAUAAAGUCUAAUCUGCCCACUGAUUUAAUUUGAAGGGCCGCAGUAUUUUGACUGUGCAAAGGUAGCAUAAUCAUUAGUCUUUUAAUUGAGGACUUGUAUGAAUGAUUGGACGAGGUAUUAACUGUCUCUAAUUAAUAAAUAAAUAAAUUUAAUUUUUUAGUUAAAAAGCUAAAAUUUAAUUAAAAGACGAGAAGACCCUAUAGAUCUUUAUAUUUAUUUUAAUAAUAAAUUUUUAGAAUUAAUAUUAUUUAUUUUUAAAUAAAAUAUUUUAUUGGGGUGAUAUAAAAAUUUAUAAAACUUUUUAUUAUUUUUAACAUUAAUUUAUGAAUAAUUGAUCCAAUUUUAUUGAUUAUAAGAUUAAGUUACCUUAGGGAUAACAGCGUAAUUUUAUUAGAGAGUUCAUAUCGAUAAUAAAGAUUGCGACCUCGAUGUUGAAUUAAGAGUAAUUUUAGGUGUAGAAGUUUAAAAUUUUAGUCUGUUCGACUAUUAAAUUCUUACAUGAUUUGAGUUCAAAUCGGCGUAAGCCAGAUUGGUUUCUAUCUUUAAUUAGUUAAUAUAUUUUAGUACGAAAGGACCAAAUAUAUAAAUAAUAUUUUAAUAAUUGAAUAUUAUUAAUUU